AUUGAACGCUGGCGGCAGGCCUAACACAUGCAAGUCGAGCGGAUGAAGGGAGCUUGCUCCUGGAUUCAGCGGCGGACGGGUGAGUAAUGCCUAGGAAUCUGCCUGGUAGUGGGGGAUAACGUCCGGAAACGGGCGCUAAUACCGCAUACGUCCUGAGGGAGAAAGUGGGGGAUCUUCGGACCUCACGCUAUCAGAUGAGCCUAGGUCGGAUUAGCUAGUUGGUGGGGUAAAGGCCUACCAAGGCGACGAUCCGUAACUGGUCUGAGAGGAUGAUCAGUCAAAAUGGAAAGGAGAAACGGGCCAGACUUCGAAGGGAGGAAGCAGGGGGGAAAAUUGGAAAAUGGGCGAAAGCCUGAUCCAGCCAAGGCGCGUGUGUGAAGAAGGUCUUCGGAUUGUAAAGCACUUUAAGUUGGGAGGAAGGGCAGUAAGUUAAUACCUUGCUGUUUUGACGUUACCAACAGAAUAAGCACCGGCUAACUUCGUG
rnacentral:rRNA from 1 species